rnacentral:rRNA from 1 species
AAACCCUGACGCAGCAACGCCGCGUGGGUGAAGAAGGCUUUCGGGUCGUAAAGCCCUGUCAGGUGGGAAGAAACUCUUCAGUACUAAUAAUGCUGAACCCUGACGGUACCACCAGAGGAAGCACCGGCCAACUCCGUGCCAGCAGCCGCG